rnacentral:rRNA from 1 species
AACGAACGCUGGCGGCGUGCUUAACACAUGCAAGUCGAACGCGAAAGGUUCUUUCGGGAACUGAGUAGAGUGGCGCACGGGUGAGUAACGCGUAAGUAAUCUACCCUGGUAUCUGGAAUAACUCAUCGAAAGGUGUGCUAAUACCGGAUACGCUGAGAAAUCAGGAAAGGAGGCCUCUCUUUGAUGCUUCUGUACUGGGAUGAGCUUGCGUACCAUUAGCUAGUUGGUAGGGUAAUGGCCUACCAAGGCAACGAUGGUUAGCGGGUCUGAGAGGAUGAUCCGCCACACUGGAACUGAAACACGGACCAGACUCCUACGGGAGGCUG